rnacentral:rRNA from 1 species
UAANGAUUUGAGGUCNGACCUGCCCACUGAGGAUUAACCUUGAAGGGCCGCGGUAUUUUGACCGUGCAAAGGUAGCAUAAUCAUUAGUCUUUUAAUUGAAGGCUAGAAUGAAUGGUUGGACGAGGUAUUGACUGUCUCUGUGUAAGUGAUAUUAGAAUUUAACUUUUGAGUGAAAAGGCUUAAAUGUAUUUGGAGGACGAGAAGACCCUAUAGAGCUUUAUAUUUUUUUAUUUAUAGUUGAUUUGGUUGUUUUCUUAUUAUAGGUAAAAAGGUAUUUUGUUGGGGUGACAGGAAGAUAAAAUUAACUCUUUUUAAUUAAGAACAUUUAUUUAUGGUUUAUUGAUCCAUUUUUAGUGAUUAAAAGACUAAGUUACCUUAGGGAUAACAGCGUAAUCUUUUUCGAGAGUUCUUAUCGACAAAAAGGGUUGCGACCUCGAUGUUGGAUUAAGGGUAAUUUUGGGUGUAGAUGUUCAAAGUUUAGGUCUGUUCGACCUUUAAAUCCUUACAUGAUCUGAGUUCAAACCGGAGA